UACGUAGGGACCAAGCGUUGUUCGGAUUUACUGGGCGUAAAGGGCGCGUAGGCGGCAAUUCAAGUCAUCUGUGAAAUCCCCGGGCUCAACCUGGGAACUGCAUUUGUGACUGCACGGCUGGAGUGCGGCAGAGGGGGAUGGAAUUCCGCGUGUAGCAGUGAAAUGCGUAGAUAUGCGGAGGAACACCGAUGGCGAAGGCAAUCCCCUGGGCCUGCACUGACGCUCAUGCACGAAAGCGUGGGGAGCAAACAGG
rnacentral:rRNA from 1 species